rnacentral:lncRNA from 1 species
AGACCCCAACAUGUUAGAACAGUAAAUUCCUCUUGCUUUUUGCAUUGAUUCCUGGUUCUGUGUCAUUCGCUCAGGGAGUCCCCAGUAAACUAAGACUUGCCACAGUCUUACAACCUCCAUCAUAUCAGAUAUGACUUGACAUUGUCCACCAGAUCUUCCUGAUUGGUCCGCCUCUGCUCUCCGUGGCUAAGGCAACUACAGUAGGGAGGGUUCCUCAGAAGUCAUCUGUACCUCCCCCCCUCACUGAAGGGCAGCGGCACAUGAAGAAGGUAGAGAAAUGAUCCCUCAGCUACAGAAGACGACCUGUGAGAGGAAUGAGCUGUGUGGUUUCCUGGCCCAUUAUACAAAGAUUUGAACAACAGGGAAGACUAUGUACAGCCCUCCAUGAAGAAUUGUUACUUUUACAUCAAUCAUUCAGGAGUAGUAAAGGAUUCUACGGCUAAAGUUUGAGAAGGACUAGCCAAAAGGAAAAGAGAAAAAGGAUAGCAUCAAGGAUGGUUUGAAUCCUGAUUCUCCACUUUCCCAUGGCUUACAACUUUAAUUUCUACACUGCUUGGAC